CCAGGACUCUGUUGAUGACCUGGAUCACACCUCUGUGUUACCAGUUCCCAGGAAGGCUCGCCCUGCUGUUAGGAGGCACAGGGUGUGAGAGCUCAGAGUCCAGAGCUUCUCGCUCAGGUUACUCUUGGGUUGAAGAGGCGAAGUGAUUUUCUCCAGUCACACACCACUUAGGGUUGGAAGCAGAGCCUUUGGAAGCUCUGGUGUCUCAGACCAGAGCCCUCUAUACCAGUGGACCCCAUGCCUCUGACUAUGUGGAGCACUUCAAAGUCAAAGCUGUCACCUUGGACCUCAAGGGCACCUGAUCUUAACCAGGAUGGGCACGUUAUCUCUGCUUGUCUUCAAGAAGAGAAAUUUCUGAACUUCCUAUUAUAUCUUCCCUUUGAUCAAGGGGAAAAGGAAAAAGAAAAGAAAAAAUCUCGAGUGUCUAGAAUCGGCCCCCAAAUAAAGAAUCCUUCUUA